rnacentral:rRNA from 1 species
AACGAACGCUGGCGGCAGGCUUAACACAUGCAAGUCGAGCGCCCCGCAAGGGGAGCGGCAGACGGGUGAGUAACGCGUGGGAAUCUACCCAUCUCUACGGAAUAACGCAUGGAAACGUGUGCUAAUACCGUAUACGUCCUUCGGGAGAAAGAUUUAUCGGAGAUGGAUGAGCCCGCGUUGGAUUAGCUAGUUGGUGGGGUAAAGGCCUACCAAGGCGACGAUCCAUAGCUGGUCUGAGAGGAUGAUCAGCCACACUGGGACGGAGACACGGCCCGGACUCCUACGGGAUGCAGCAGUGGGGAAUAUUGGGCAAUGGGUGCAAGCCUGAUCCAGCCAUGCCGCGUGAGUGAUGAAGGCCCUAGGGUUGUAAAGCUCUUUCACCGGUGAAGAUAAUGACGGUAACCGGAGAAGAAGCCCCGGCUAACUUCGUGCCAGCAGCCGCAGUAAUAC